rnacentral:rRNA from 1 species
AACGAACGCUGGCGGCAGGCCUAACACAUGCAAGUCGAACGAAGUCUUCGGACUUAGUGGCGCACGGGUGAGUAACACGUGGGAAUAUACCUUACGCUGGGGGAUAACAUCGGGAAACUGAUGCUAAUACCGCAUACGCCCUUCGGGGGAAAGAUUUAUCGGCGAAAGAUUAGCCCGCGUCCGAUUAGCUAGUUGGUGAGGUAAUGGCUCACCAAGGCUCCGAUCGGUAGCUGGUCUGUGAGGAUGACCAGCCACACUGGGACUGAGACACGGCCCAGACUCCUACGGGAGGCAGCAGUGGGGAAUAUUGGACAAUGGGCGCAAGCCUGAUCCAGCCAUGCCGCGUGAGUGAUGAAGGCCUUAGGGUUGUAAAGCUCUUUCACCCACGACGAUGAUGACGGUAGUGGGAGAAGAAGCCCCGGCUAACUUCGUG